rnacentral:misc_RNA from 1 species
GUCCAAAAUCAGAUUGCAUCA